rnacentral:rRNA from 1 species
AACGCUAGCUACAGGCUUAACACAUGCAAGUCGAGGGGCAGCAUGAACAUAGCUUGCUAUGUUUGAUGGCGACCGGCGCACGGGUGCGUAACACGUAUCCAAUCUGCCCGUCACUCGGGGAUAGCCUUCUGAAAGGAAGAUUAAUACCCGAUGGGAUGCAUUUCCGGCAUCGGAGAUGCAUUAAAGAUUCAUCGGUGACGGAUGAGGAUGCGUACGAUUAGCUGGUUGGCGGGGUAACGGCCCACCAAGGCUACGAUCGUUAGGGGUUCUGAGAGGAAGGUCCCCCACACUGGAACUGAGACACGGUCCAGACUCCUACGGGAGGCAGCAGUGAGGAAUAUUGGUCAAUGGGCGGGAGCCUGAACCAGCCAAGUAGCGUGAAGGAUGACUGCCCUACGGGUUGUAAACUUCUUUUGUUUGGGAAUAAAAGACGCUACGUGUAGCGUUCUGCAUGUACCUUACGAAUAAGCAUCGGCUAAUUCCGUGCCAGCAGCCGCGGUAAUACGGAAGAUGCGAGCGUUAUCCGGAUUUAUUGGGUUUAAAGGGAGCGUAGGCGGGCUGUUAAGUCAGCGGUAAAAUGUCAAGGCCCAACCUUGUCCUGCCGUUGAAACUGGCGGUCUUGAAUGCACACAAGGGAGAUGGAAUUCGUCGUGUAGCGGUGAAAUGCUUAGAUAUGACGAAGAACUCCGAUUGCGAAGGCAGUCUCCUGGGGUGCUAUUGACGCUGAGGCUCGAAAGUGCGGGUAUCAAACAGGAUUAGAUACCCUGGUAGUCCGCACAGUAAACGAUGAAUGCUGGUUCUUGGCGAUAUAUUGUCAGGAACUGAGGGAAACCAUUAAGCAUUCCACCUGGGGAGUACGCCGGCAACGGUGAAACUCAAAGGAAUUGACGGGGGCCCGCACAAGCGGAGGAACAUGUGGUUUAAUUCGAUGAUACGCGAGGAACCUUACCCGGGCUUAAAUUGCACUGGACAGGCUCAGAGAUGGGCUCUUCUUCGGACCAGUGUGAAGGUGCUGCAUGGUUGUCGUCAGCUCGUGCCGUGAGGUGUCGGCUUAAGUGC